GCCAGCUGCAAUAGCCUCACUCACUAGCUUCUUGGCUUCUUCCUCCUGAGAAAGCAAAAGGGCAGUCAUGAUAAGUUAUGCCCACGGAGAAUGGUGGCAUACUCAGCGCACAUAAUAGUUCACAGGUCUGUUUGUUCGUGGUUGUUGGUGCUUAAAACCUCCUUAGAGCUGGGCAGUGGUGGCACUUGCCUUUAAUCCCAGCAGUUGGGAGGCAGAGGCAGGCGGAUCUCUCUGAGUUCCAGGACAGCUAGAGCUAUGCAGAAAAACCUUGUCUUGAAAACCAAACCUAACCAUCACCACCAUUCCCUAGAACUGACUCCAAUGGUUUGCCUGGAGCUCUUCAGGUGGUAAGCAGGGGCCUAGACUUUUCAAAGUCCUUCAUGCCCUUUCUUCACUACAAUGUCUUCCAUUAUAUGCUGCCAGUAUCUGUCAUUUAAAGAAAGACUCAAUAAGUUCUGCUGGGCAGUAAUACUUUAGGUUUCAGGGUACACUUAUUGUCUGUUACAACUAUUUGAUGCCAACACCUAACAUAUAACAGCUACAAACUAAGCAUAAACAGGGUGAUUAUCAGGCCCAAAAAUACUUUAUUAACAAAAACGGGUGUUAGGUUGGAUUUGACUCCUGGACUCAGUUUGCUAAAUGAUCAAAAUAUCUUAAUGUUGUUGACUCCAGGAUAGAAUCUUCCCAUCCAAUAAUGGGGGAAGACAAAGCUGCGUUUAUAAAGUCAAAGAGUAAGGUAAAACCCCUAUGGAAGCCAUCUUCUUAGAUAACAUAGUGGACAAAAUCAGCACUGUGAGGCUGAGACAAGCUGAUAACAAAAUACAAUCAUAUUUCUGGGGAAAUGCUGCCAGAGCCAAACCCAAGACCACUUUGCCCUCACAGAAUUUGUCUCCACCCAACCUAUGAGCUUACAAGUUUACCAAAGUGACUUGCUGUUUCUCCCCAAAUUUCCCAUAUGCCAGGGGAGACACACUAGGACCAAAGACAGAGGUCCCAGAACUUUAUCCUCUUGGGAUUUUAAGAGUUCAGGCCCAUGUGACAGCUCCAAGGCUUGUCAGAGGUCAAAGGCUGAGUAGGAAAGACAAUAAAGGUCGCCUCAGCAAGGCUUCAAGGAGAGCUGAAGGCAGGCUGUAAACAAAGGCAUCCAGGAAAUGAGCAAAGCAGGUAGCAAGGCAGAACAUAGGUCCACCAAGCUGCAAUCUUUUAUGAAACAAGGGCAGGUGUGAGCCAGCCUUUCCUAGCUGUGUGCUGCCGCUGCUUCCCAACAACACAAGGGUACAGACACUUGAGCCCAACAAAACACGCAUCUCAGGAACACCACCCCCAACUUCAAGUCCCACACCCGAACUGCCCCAAAUUUGGUCUAAGAGCCUUGAUGAGCAGAUUCAAGGCUUCAAGUUGUGCGAAAAAUCUGAGCCAGGUUUGAAUACUAGUGACAGUAGUGCCCUCUACAGACCCAGAGGAGGAUAGAGACAGCUCUGCAAGAGUGGGAGGGAUCUUUACCAAACCAGCAGCCAGACACCUUUGUAAGAGCAGUGAAGCAAGUUAUUCUCGUGUGCAUCUGCACAGUGCCUUGAGAAUUCACCUCACAGAAUCAUCUAAUCAGGAACUGUUUCUGAACAGUCCCACAAAAGCCUUACCAGAAACAAGGAAAGGUGGUAUACAGGAGAUGCUAGUGGAGACUGCUCCCACACAGAAAGCAAAACCCAAUCACCGGCUUAACAAAUGCAACCUCAUUCCAACUCUGUUUAUUAACCAACCUUAGAUGUGCAUGUGCACGCUCGCUGGGAGUGCCCUGCUUGCUCCCCAGCUCGGGGCUUCCGACCUUCUCCCCCUUCUCUUUUCUCCACUUAACUACCGCCUUUGUCUGUUCUUGUCCCUUUAGCUAGUGCUCUGAGCAAGACACAUGGGACAGAAAAAAAUAACCAACAGGCAGCACUUAGCACCACAGAUCUUAAUUCCCAAGGGAGGAUGACGCUGAGAGCAUGGAAAUAUAUGAGCUGUUGUUACACAUGCCUGUCUAGUCUGUAUUCAUUCACCUGGACAGGAGGUGCUGCAGAGUGCAGGUGACUCUCCCUCUGCUUUGUAAACAUUUGCACAUGGAAGUAAAUCCCAGCAAAAGCACAUUUCAAAAAGUACAAAGAAUUUGAAAUGUAUUAUGUAUAAUUUGAUCCACUUGUAGAAUCAUCAUGUAUACAGACGUGUAAAGGCUUUGACAAAUUGAGGAGACAUUUAAUGCUGCUUCACCAAUUCAAGAGAAGAUGAUUCUUUAAGGACUCCUCCCCCUUGACCCCACCCCCACCCCCCAGUUAUGAAAUGGAAAACUUCACACUGAGUACCUACCAUAACAUGUUAAAUACAGAAUCAGGCACAUGGAUAAUCUCUAUCCAGUUUUAUUACAAUCCCCAAACACCUACGGAGGCUCAUACUAAUCAGAAUGUAUGGCCGAGAGGGAGCCCCAAGGCCACACAGCUAGCAAACAGUAAAUAGUAAAGCAGGUUUGUGGUAGCCACAAACCGUAUCAGCUAAGUAACCUUCUUGGGCUCUGGGCUCUUCACUACUUGGGGACGCCACGGCUGUGUUAAGUUUAAGGAUAGGUGCCAAUUUCUGUCUGGCUUGCCAAAAAGCAGCUCCUAUGGCUGUCACUAGAGAGCAGGGGAGCCUUGUGCUUUCCCUAACACCCUCAGACUACCUGAUGAAGGCCUUUCGCCUCUCUACUUUGCACAAGAUAAUGUUCCCACAAUGUCCUGUCAGGAAUGCCAGUAUCAGUGGCAUACCUUCAGGAGACAGAGGUGGGCAAAUCUCUGAGUUCAAGGCCAGCCUGGUCUACAGAGUAAGUUCCUGGACAGUCAGGGCUACACAAAACAAAAUAAAAGAUGAUGGUCUUACUUCAUGUUCUUCUCACCACCAAACUCUCUCAAAACACAAGGAGGUUGAAAACGAUUGCUGUCUACCCAUCACUUACGUAGUACUUUCAAGAAGUAUCUUCAGAAACCUAUCUGAGGAACUGCUUCAUAGCUAAACUGCUGUCUUUAAACACGGUACUUUACAAACAGACUUCUAGGUACAGAUAGAUGCACCUAUACUACUACGCAUGGUCAUGUUUUUUCUUCUCUAGAGUAAAAUUUCGCAAAUAACUUGUUUUUAAUAUGUGCUGCUAUUAUUUUAGAAAACUGUCAAGAAAAUUUCAGAAAGGUGGGGAAAACACCACAUUUAUCACCUUUGGCUCACAGAAUAUUCAGGAAACAUGUUUCUUCCUCUAGGAUUCCUUCUUUCUAGCACUGUGUACCUCACUCUUCUGGAAGAUCUGAGGUGACCUGGGUCCUGAGCAACAUCUGCCUGGGACAGGUGCUGCUUAGGGGAUCUCUGACCUAGCCCUGCAGACCCUGUACCCCAGAUGGCUUGCCCCAGGUGCUCUGUUCUCCCCCUACUGCGCCGGCAUCCUUCUCCAACCAGCCAGCUGCUCGAGGAUUUACGCUGCUUAUCUCGAGGGAACUUGGAGAUUUAGUGUUAGACCAGCAGGGUACAUCCCAGCUACUAGAAAAAUAGCCCUCCAGGAUAAGAACAGCCUCAAAACACUCAUGCAGAAGACCACCAUGACCCUGGUGACAGAAAAACCUGAGGGUCUUGGGUUCAAGGUCAUCUGGCAGGUGUGGAAACAAAUGAUAGAACCACAUCUUCCUACAGACUCCUACUUCAUGUUGUGUGGCUGGGAGCAAGUAAGCACUUCUCUGAGAUUUCGCCCUUCUCUGUAAUAUGAUAGUACAUUCUACCUCACAGGUUUGCUGC
rnacentral:lncRNA from 1 species